rnacentral:lncRNA from 1 species
CCUACAUGAAUAUGGUUACUGUAUAAUUCAUCCCUUUUGACCCCUGUGUUUAGGAUGACUCAGGGUUAAACUGUCAACUCUGAUUAGAUCAUCCGAAUCGUGCUCAACUCAAACAGUCCUGUGACUCCUCACUAGGACUACCCUGGCCAAGGUUUUGCUAAAUUAAAACAUGACUAUACACAGCUCCUAAACUAGAGUGGUCAAUCCCAUCUUGACACACGCACCGACAAGUCAAGUACUUGACUACACCCA